rnacentral:tRNA from 1 species
GCCUGGGUGGCUCAGUCGGUUGAGCAUCCGACUUCGGCUCAGGUCAUGAUCUCAGUUUGUGGGUUCGAGCCCAGCAUCAGGCU